rnacentral:antisense_RNA from 1 species
UGUAGGAGCUGCCGCAGGCUGCGAUCUUUUGAUCUUGAUUUUCAGCGAAGAUCAAAAGAUCGCAGCCUGCGGCAGCUCCUACA